rnacentral:rRNA from 1 species
UCACUUUCAACAACGGAUCUCUUGGUUCUCGCAUCGAUGAAGAACGUAGCGAAGCGCGAUAAGUAAUGUGAAUUGCAGAAUUCCGUGAAUCAUCGAAUUUUUGAACGCAAAUUGCACUCUCUGGUAUUCCAAGGGAGUAUGCCUGUUUGAGGGUUAAUU